CCUGUGCUAAGGUGCAUCUAGUGCAGUUAGUGAAGUAGCUUAGAAUCUACUGCCCUGAAUGCUCCUUCUGGCAUAGGAGGCC
rnacentral:pre_miRNA from 11 species